rnacentral:lncRNA from 1 species
AAGGAAAGCUUGGCAGCGAAACAGGAUGCUUCCACCUGUUCCUCAAAGAGCUAUCAAACGGCCCUGUGAACAUCUCUGCAAAGGGUCCUCGCGAAUGCCAGGCCUCAAGUGCGAUUCUCUGCACUGAGGUCAGGAUUUAAUCUGGGCUGGAGAUUUCAGGCAAAUUUUAAAAUGUAAGCAUGUGGACAAGAGUUAACACCUGACAAGUCCAAGCCAAGCUGAAGAGCAUGGACAGAGGAGGCAACCUGGAGGUCCAACUUCUACUCCAUGCUCCACUCAGAUGUCACCUCCAGGAAGCCUUUCCUGACUUCGCCCAGACUGGGUAUGUGUCCCUCCCUGCUUCUCUCAAGGUUCACACUGUGCUUAUCUGAUUCCAGCACUCACCUCAUGGUGAUGAAGUCCUUUGCUUGUCUGUCUCCCUGCUACAGGGCAAGCUCCCUGAAGGCAGGAAUUGUUUCUUUCUCAUCUGUGUCCCCAAACCCCACUAAUGGCUGCCACACUGUCCUCAAUUAAGCCAUCCCAGAAAGGAGGAGCUAGUUGAGUGGAAGCAGGAUGGAGGAGGGCUCACUUCUAUGAA